UGCGCGCAGGUGCGCGUGCACGCAACAGCCCGCACGCACCGGCACGCACGCGCCCGGCCAGUGAGCCAGGGAAGGACAGGUUUGGGUUUGGGGUUUUUUGUUUGUUUGUUUGUUUGUUUUGGGGGGCCUUCGCGCUGAGCUGCAUCCUCGGCCCUUUUUAUUUGCCGACAGAAUCUGGAUGAGUCAGUAAGUUGUCCUGGCGGGGCUUUUCCUUCCUCAGGCUCCCUCGUGCUGAACUCUGGGCGCGCGCCCAGCUGAGGACGUGGCCCGAGGGAGGGAGGUCAGCGGGAGCUUCACAACGUUUGGCCCUGGUUGUGCGCCCUGCAGGGUGUGCCGUGAAGCUGUUGGUGGUUCUGAGGGCAAUCAUAAGCCUGGGGAAGCGUGUACUGUACUGUGUAAUAAUGAAGACAGCAGUUAUCCGCACUUUGAAAGCAAGUUUUGCAAAAUAGUUACGCACUUCCUUUGAGUGAUGAGUUCUAAUAAGCCACAUCCUGUAGGACAUCAGCACACCUUUGGGGGCAACACAGGACUGAGAUGUAGCCUGCACAGGUCAGAGGUCCAAAGUGAGUUUCACUGGACAAACAUCAAGGUGUCAGUAGGUUGGGGCACUGCGACUCAAGCCUGGGUUCCUGGUACUCUGGAGGUGAAGGUGGACAAUCUGAUCCUGGGAGUUCAAGACCAACCUGGACAACACAGCCAGAGCCUGUCUGUAAAAAUGUAAAUAAAAUCAAUUUAAAAAGAAAAUAAAGAGCUGAGUGUGGUGGUGCCUGCUUAUACUCCCAGUACUCAAGGAGGUUGAGACAAGAGGAUCACAAGUUCAAGCUUGGCCUGGGCAACUUGAGCAAGCUCUUGUCUCAAAAACUAUAAGGGGCUGGAGGCGUAGCUCAGUGUGAAGGCUUGGG
rnacentral:lncRNA from 1 species